rnacentral:tRNA from 1 species
CGGUACGUGGCUCAUGAGCAGAGCGCCCGGCUCCGGACCGGGAGGGAGCGGGGGCGGAACCCGCCGUACCGG